rnacentral:rRNA from 1 species
UACGGGAGGCAGCAGUGGGGAAUAUUGCACAAUGGGCGCAAGCCUGAUGCAGCCAUGCCGCGUGUAUGAAGAAGGCCUUCGGGUUGUAAAGUACUUUCAGUCGUGAGGAAGGUGUUAAGGUUAAUAACCUUAGCAAUUGACGUUAGCGACAGAAGAAGCACCGGCUAACUCCGUGCCAGCAGCCGCGGUAAUACGGAGGGUGCGAGCGUUAAUCGGAAUUACUGGGCGUAAAGGGCACGCAGGCGGUUAAUAAGUUGGAUGUGAAAUCCCCGGGCUUAACCUGGGAAUGGCAUUCAAGACUGGUUAGCUAGAGUCUUGUAGAGGGGGUAGAAUUCCAUGUGUAGCGGUGAAAUGCGUAGAGAUGUGGAGGAAUACCGGUGGCGAAGGCGGCCCCUGGGACAAAGACUGACGCUCAUGUGCGAAAGCGUGGGGAGCAAACAGGAUUAGAUACC